GUUACCGAGCGGCCGGCGCUGGGGUGGCAGGGGCGGGGCUCGCCGAAUUCCCGGUUCUGGGCGGGUGGGCCCGCCGGCUCCGGCCUGGUUUCCCCUACCUGUGGCGGGGAGUGAGGAAAGCCGGCCCUCGGGUAAAGGACCCUAACUUUUUUUUUUUUUUUUGAGACGGAGUCUCGCUCUGUCGCCCAGGCUGGACUGCCGUGGCGCGAUCUCGGAUCACUGCAACCUCCGCCUCCCGGGUUCAAGCGAUUCCCCUGCCUCAGCCUCCCGAGCAGCUGGGGUUACAGGCGCGCACCACCACGCCCCGCUAAUUUUUGUAUUUUUAGUAGAGACGAAAUUUCGCCAUGUUGGCCAGGAUGGUUUCAAACUCCUGACCUCAGGUGAUCCGCCCUGGGAUUACAGACGUGAGCCACCGCACCUGGCCAACGUUUUAACAGCCUUUAGCCAAAGCCUGGGUGCAGCUCCAGUUGAGAGGGAGCGGCUGUUGCCGGGGCAACUGCUCCCGCUCGGGGCAGCGAGGGCCGGUCAGUCUCGAGAAUUAAGACGGAGGGCCUCCUCGGACCCUACAGAGUUGUUUGAAUAACAUUUUUCCGUUUGUGGGAACCCUAACCCUAAUCCACUUUGUGCUGUCCCAGGACUCGCAUAGAGGAGUGCAGGUUCUGAUCCCUGCUGGGAAGAAAAAUGAUUAGGACUGUAAAGCCUUCUAGCUCCCUCUUGCCAAAGAGAGGCUGGUCACAGAGGCGGGAGACAGUCUGUUGAGCGGGGAGCUGACCAUCUGAGGACAGACACUGAGGAAGGAGGAUGGAAUGAUUUUGGCAGUGAAUGACAAUUCCUUCAACAAGACCCCCCCCCCCCACUCACUUCAAAGAAACAGUGGACAGGAUGUGCUUUCCAAAAUACUGCAGUUUAAUUCUGAAAAACUCAAAUGCAAGAGGCCCAGAGCUGUCUAUGGGAUUGGAUCUCCUGCAACCUGCCUUGGGCCCCAGAAGAGACUGGCAAUGUCAGCCUCCUCCCUGCUCUGCCUGAGGGAGGCCACGGAGAACUU
rnacentral:lncRNA from 1 species